UCUUCGGCAAUGGGCGAAAGCCUGACCGAGCGACGCCGCGUGUGCGAUGAAGGCCUUCGGGUUGUAAAGCACUGUCGUGGGGGAGAAAGGCCCGCAAGGGCUUGAUCGACCCCAGGAGGAAGCUCGGGCUAAGUUCGUGCCAGCAGCCGCGGUAAGACGAACCGAGCGAACGUUAUUCGGAAUCACUGGGCUUAAAGGGCGCGUAGGCGGGCCGGCAAGUCAGGGGUGAAAGCCCCCAGCUCAACUGGGGAAGGGCCUCUGAUACUGCCGGCCUCGAGCGAGGUAGGGGCGUGCGGAACUUCCGGUGGAGCGGUGAAAUGCGUAGAUAUCGGAAGGAACACCGGUGGCGAAAGCGGCGCGCUGGACCUCUUCUGACGCUGAGGCGCGAAAGCCAGGGGAGCGAAC
rnacentral:rRNA from 1 species